rnacentral:rRNA from 1 species
GAUGAACGCUGGCGGCGUGCCUAAUACAUGCAAGUCGAGCGAACGGACGAGAAGCUUGCUUCUCUGAUGUUAGCGGCGGACGGGUGAGUAACACGUGGAUAACCUACCUAUAAGACUGGGAUAACUUCGGGAAACCGUAGCUAAUACCGGAUAAUAUAUUGAACCGCAUGGUUCAAAAGUGAAAGACGGUCUUGCUGUCACUUAUAGAUGGAUCCGCGCUGCAUUAGCUAGUUGGUAAGGUAACGGCUUACCAAGGCAACGAUGCAUAGCCGACCUGAGAGGGUGAUCGGCCACACUGGAACUGAGACACGGUCCAGACUCCUACGGGAGGCAGCAGUAGGGAAUCUUCCGCAAUGGGCGAAAGCCUGACGGAGCAACGCCGCGUGAGUGAUGAAGGUCUUCGGAUCGUAAAACUCUGUUAUUAGGGAAGAACAUAUGUGUAAGUAACUGUGCACGUCUUGACGGUACCUAAUCAGAAAGCCACGGCUAACUACGUG